AUAGGAAAAGACAUCCACAGAUUGAAGGUAAAGGGUUUGGAAAAAAUCAUACCACUCACAUGGACUGCAGAAGCAAGCAGGGGUUUCCAUCCUUAUAUCAAAUAAAGUAGACUUAAAGCUAAAGUCAAUCAAAGGGGAUAAAGAAGGACACUACAUACUUCUCAGGAGAACCAUACACCAACAAGACCUGACAAUUAUAAACACAUAUGCCCCAAACAAUGGAGCAUCUACGUUCAUCAAACAAACUCUUCUCAAGUUAAAGAGUCAAAUAGACCACAACACAAUAAUUUUGGGUACUUUAACACACCUCUUUUACCACUGGAUAGAUCUUCCAAACAAAAGCUGAACAAACUAUAGAAUUUAAUAAAACAAUAACUUAGACUUAACUGACAUAUAUAGAAUAUUUCAUCCUUCAACAUGCGAUUACACUUUCUUCUCAGCAGAACAUGGGUCCUUCUCUAAAAUAGACUAUAUAUUAUGCCACAAAACAACUCUUAACAAAUAUAAAAAAGUAGAGAUACUACCUUGAAUUCUAUCAGAUCAUAAUGAAAUGAAAUUAGAAAUCAAUGAUAUAAAAUAAGAAAUAAAAGCUACUCCAACACCUGGAGACUAAAUAAUAUGCUAUUGAAUAAACAAUGGGUUACAGAAGACCCAUUACUCCUCCUUGAUUAAAAAAUUUUGGGAGGUGGAUGAGAACACAGAUACAACACAUCGAAAUCUCUGGGACACUAUGAAGGCAGUUCUAAGAGGAAAGUUCAUUGCAUGGAGUUCAUUCCUUAAAAGAAGAAAAAGUCAACAAAUGACUUAACUCAAAGCCCUGGAAAAAG
rnacentral:lncRNA from 1 species